rnacentral:rRNA from 1 species
UACGUAGGGUGCUAGCGUUGUUCGGAAUCAUUGGGCGUAAAGCGCGUGUAGGCGGUUAGUUAAGUCGGGUGUGAAAUCCCUGGGCUCAACCGAGGAAGUGCAUCCGAAACUAACUAGCUAGAGAAUGGUAGAGGAAGGUGGAAUUCCGUGUGUAGAGGUGAAAUUCGUAGAUAUACGGAGGAAUACCGGUGGCGAAGGCGGCCUCUGGACCAUUUCUGACGCUGAGACGCGGAAGCGUGGGGAGCAAACAGG